GUGCUCGCUUCGGCAGCACAUAUACUAAAAUUGGAAUGAUACGGAGAAGAUUAGCAUGGCCCCUGCACAAGGAUGAUACGCAAAUUCAUGAAGCAUUCCAUAUUUAA
ensembl:snRNA U6 U6 spliceosomal RNA